rnacentral:rRNA from 1 species
AUUGAAGGAGCUUGCUCCUGAUUGAUAAAUAUUUGAGUGAGUGGCGGACGGGUGAGUAACACGUGGGUAACCUGCCCUAAAGUGGGGGAUAACAUUUGGAAACAGAUGCUAAUACCGCAUAAAACCUAACACCGCAUGGUGUAGGGUUGAAAGAUGGUUUCGGCUAUCACUUUAGGAUGGACCCGCGGUGCAUUAGUUAGUUGGUGAGGUAAAGGCUCACCAAGACCGUGAUGCAUAGCCGACCUGAGAGGGUAAUCGGCCACACUGGGACUGAGACACGGCCCAGACUCCUACGGGAGGCAGCAGUAGGGAAUCUUCCACAAUGGACGAAAGUCUGAUGGAGCAACGCCGCGUGAGUGAAGAAGGUUUUCGGAUCGUAAAACUCUGUUGUUGGAGAAGAAUGUAUCUGAUAGUAACUGAUCAGGUAGUGACGGUAUCCAACCAGAAAGCCACGGCUAACUACGUGCCAGCAGCCGCGGUAAUAUGUAGGUGGCAAGCGUUGUCCGGAUUUAUUGGGCGUAAAGCGAGCGCAGGCGGUUUCUUAAGUCUGAUGUGAAAGCCUUCGGCUCAACCGAAGAAGUGCAUCGGAAACUGGGAAACUUGAGUGCAGAAGAGGACAGUGGACUCCAUGUGUAGCGGUGAAAUGCGUAGAUAUAUGGAAGAACACCAGUGGCGAAGGCGGCUGUCUGGUC